CUGGGGUGCUAGUUGGGAGAACCAAGCCCCGCUGCCCAUUGACACUGGUCCCCGCCCCUGCGGUAGGGGCUUCAAACUGGCUUCAGGCACCAAGGUGGAGAGACGUUUCAGAGCCCUUGCCUCCUUCACCAUGCCGGUUGCCGCCACCAACUCUGAGACUGCCAUGCAGCAAGUCCUGGACAACUUGGGAUCCCUCCCCAGUGCCACGGGGGCUGCAGAGCUGGACCUGAUCUUCCUUCGAGGCAUUAUGGAAAGUCCCAUAGUAAGAUCCCUGGCCAAGGCCCAUGAGAGGCUGGAGGAGACGAAGCUGGAGGCCGUGAGAGACAACAACCUGGAGCUGGUGCAGGAGAUCCUGCGGGACCUGGCGCAGCUGGCUGAGCAGAGCAGCACAGCCGCCGAGCUGGCCCACAUCCUCCAGGAGCCCCACUUCCAGGUUCCUGGCUGCUAGGGCUGGGGUGAGGGAGCAGGAGGUGGGUGGACCGGGGCAUGCUGCUGUUGGAUGGGCCAGCAGGAAGUUGGAUCUGGGAUGGGAAGAGACCCGGGACACUGCCCCAUUGUCCCUUCUCUUCCCACCACCCCUCAGUCCCUCCUGGAGACGCACGACUCUGUGGCCUCAAAGACCUAUGAGACACCACCCCCCAGCCCUGGCCUGGACCCUACAUUCAGCAACCAGCCUGUACCUCCCGACGCUGUGCGCAUGGUGGGCAUCCGCAAGACAGCCGGAGAACAUCUGGGUGUAACGUUCCGCGUGGAGGGCGGCGAGCUGGUGAUCGCGCGCAUUCUGCAUGGGGGCAUGGUGGCU
rnacentral:sRNA from 1 species